CUAGGAAUAAAAUGCUGUUUCAUAAUACAUUUAAGUGCAGUGUUUACUUCUGUUAGCUUCUAUCUGUCCUCCCACAGUCCAAAUGCUUGGGCAUGGCCUCUAAGUUCCUUGAAAAUCUAGACCAGCUGGCCUGUUGUUCCUUCUCUCGACAUUUUCCUUCCUGCAUCUGUAACAAGCCAUGCUCAUUCAGAAAUUCAUACCUUGGAAUAUGGUUUCUUCUCUGUCUGGGAAAUUACCUUAUUCUUUACCCCAAACUUCUCUGCCUGGAAAAAUUGCUGUACGUACUCUGAAUGAUAGC
rnacentral:lncRNA from 1 species